rnacentral:rRNA from 1 species
GCCUCAGAUGGGUAGGACUACCCGCUGAACUUAAGCAUAUCAUAGCCCCGAAGAGAA